rnacentral:lncRNA from 1 species
UGCUGUGAUUCACAAUCAGCUGCUGCUGUGAUUCACAAUCAGCUGCUGUGAUUCACAAUCAGCUGCUGAGAUUCACAAUCAGCUGCUGCUGUGGUUCACAAUCAGCUGCUGUGAUUCACAAUCAGCUGCUGUUUCCAUUUUCAAAAGCCCAAUUUAGCAGUUUGCUAAUCAUUUCUCCAUUUCUCCUUAUCACCUUCGCCAAGAAGGUGGUGCGACAGCGUGUGUGUGUGUGUGUGUGUGAGUGUGUGUGAGUGUGUGUGUCUCACCAGAAGACGGCCUUCUUGUGCAGGACGUCCUGCAGUUGAAUUUGACUGAUGGUGUCAAGAGUGCUGAAGCCAUACUGAGGACAGAAGUCUGCUGGAGGAGGAGUACUGAAGACCACAUCAAAGGAGGAGGCUGGGAAGUCAAGCUGUAAGAUCACACUGUCUGGUUGGCUGAAGUUCGGGGAGCUGGUCCGUGCGUCUCGGUUAGGUUCAGGUUCAGGGUCAGGGUUAGGUUUAGGGUUAGGGUUAGGGUUAGGUUAGGGUCAGGGUCAGGGGUUAGGUUCAGGGUCAGGGUCAGGGUCAGGUUUAGGGUCAGGGUCAGGAGCAUGAGGAGAACCUACUGUCUGAAGCUGAAGAGCGGCAUGGUCACCCAGCCGAGGGCCUCCACAGUGCGGCGCUGCUUCCCCUUCUCCUCUGCGCCACCAGGGGGCGGCAGAGCGCUGGCAUACAGCUCACUGUCAGCUGCGAUUCUCUGGGGAGCUGGUUGAUCUGCACUGGGAAACACACCCCUGCACCCCACAGCACACAACCAGGUCAGGCUGUGAACAGGGCAGCCACUAUUGUCUUUGCUGACACGUGAGGGUCCUACCUUUGGUCCCACACCACCAGGUGAAACAGGUAUUUGUUAACCAACUGUUUACUGGUGUGCUGUGGCGCACACAGCUCCGCCCCCUCCGUGGGUCAGAGAAGAGGACAGGAAGAAGCCUUCAUAACUGACCAAUCAGAGAGCAGGACAAGGUUUGGUCACCAGCAGACUCUUUCA